GCAGUAAGGAGCAGGAAGGGUCUUCAAAGAGAAGGAAGGGUCUGCAAGGAGCAGAAAAGGGCAGGAAGAGACAGAAGGAGCACCUUUGUGCCCUUUUCUGCUCCUUGCAGACCCUUCCUUCUCUUUGAAGACCCUUCCUGCUCCUUACUGCG